GAUGAACGCUAGCGGCAGGCUUAAUACAUGCAAGUCGUGGGGCAGCAUGAGUAGCAAUACUUGAUGGCGACCGGCAAACGGGUGAGGAACACGUACACAACCUUCCUUCAAGCGGGGAAUAGCCCAGAGAAAUUUGGAUUAAUACCCCAUAAUAUAUUUGAUAAGGCAUCUUAUUAAUAUUAAAGCUUCGGCACUUGAUGAUGGGUGUGCGGCUGAUUAGAUAGUUGGCGGGUAACGGCCCACCAAGUCUACGAUCAGUAGCUGAUGUGAGAGCAUGAUCAGCCACACGGGCACUGAGACACGGGCCCGACUCCUACGGGAGGCAGCAGUAAGGAUAUUGGACAAUGGACGAAAGUCUGAUCCAGCCAUGCCGCGUGAAGGAUUAAGGUCCUCUGGAUUGU
rnacentral:rRNA from 1 species